CGUUGGUUGUAGCUGGCUCUUAGGAGCAUUUUGUGCACGCCCGUCAUUCAUAUCAUCUUUCCACCUGUGAACUAUGUGUAGGCCUGGAUACCCCUCGCUUUGGCAACAAAGCGGAUGCAAGGAUUGCUGCGUCAACAAGGCCGGCUCUCUUUGAAUUUCCAGGUUCUAUGUCUUUUACACACCCCAAUUGAAUGAUGUAGAAUGUAGUCAAUGGGCUUUCAUGCCUAUAAAACACUAUACAACUUUCAGCAACGGAUCUCUUGGCUCUCGCAUCGAUGAAGAACGCAGCGAAAUGCGAUAAGUAAUGUGAAUUGCAGAAUUCAGUGAAUCAUCGAAUCUUUGAACGCACCUUGCGCUCCUUGGUAUUCCGAGGAGCAUGCCUGUUUGAGUGUCAUUAAAUUCUCAACCUCACCCGUUUUGUAACGAGACCGGUGAAGGCUUGGAUGUGGGGGUUUUGCAGGCUGCCUCAGUGCUGGUCUGCUCCCCUGAAAUGCAUUAGCGAGCUCAUACUGAGCUUCCGUCUAUUGGUGUGAUAAUUAUCUACGCCGUGGAUUGGACUCGUGCUUGCUUCUAACCGUCCGCAAGGACAAUUUACUUGACCAAUUUGACCUCAAAUCAGGUAGGACUACCCGCUGAACUUAAGCAUAUCAAUAAGCGGAGGAAAAGAAACUAACAAGGAUUCCCCUAGUAACUGCGAGUGAAGCGGGAAAAGCUCAAAUUUAAAAUCUGGUGGUCUCUGCCAUCCGAGUUGUAAUCUAGAGAAGUGUUACCCGCGUCGGACCGUGUAUAAGUCUCCUGGAAU
rnacentral:rRNA from 1 species